rnacentral:rRNA from 1 species
AGAGUUUGAUCCUGGCUCAGAUUGAACGCUGGCGGCAUGCUUUACACAUGCAAGUCGGACGGCAGCACGGGGAAGCUUGCUUCUCGGGUGGCGAGUGGCGAACGGGUGAGUAACAUAUCGGAACGUACCGGGUAGCGGGGGAUAACUGAUCGAAAGAUCAGCUAAUACCGCAUACGUCUUGAGAGGGAAAGCAGGGGACCUUCGGGCCUUGCGCUAUCCGAGCGGCCGAUAUCUGAUUAGCUGGUUGGCGGGGUAAAGGCCCACCAAGGCGACGAUCAGUAGCGGGUCUGAGAGGAUGAUCCGCCACACUGGGACUGAGACACGGCCCAGACUCCUACGGGAGGCAGCAGUGGGGAAUUUUGGACAAUGGGCGCAAGCCUGAUCCAGCCAUGCCGCGUGUCUGAAGAAGGCCUUCGGGUUGUAAAGGACUUUUGUCAGGGAAGAAAAGGCCGUUGCCAAUAUCGGCGGCCGAUGACGGUACCUGAAGAAUAAGCACCGGCUAACUACGUGCCAGCAGCCGCGGUAAUACGUAGGGUGCGAGCGUUAAUCGGAAUUACUGGGCGUAAAGCGGGCGCAGACGGUUACUUAAGCAGGAUGUGAAAUCCCCGGGCUCAACCCGGGAACUGCGUUCUGAACUGGGUGACUCGAGUGUGUCAGAGGGAGGUGGAAUUCCACGUGUAGCAGUGAAAUGCGUAGAGAUGUGGAGGAAUACCGAUGGCGAAGGCAGCCUCCUGGGAUAACACUGACGUUCAUGUCCGAAAGCGUGGGUAGCAAACAGGAUUAGAUACCCUGGUAGUCCACGCCCUAAACGAUGUCAAUUAGCUGUUGGGCAACUUGAUUGCUUGGUAGCGUAGCUAACGCGUGAAAUUGACCGCCUGGGGAGUACGGUCGCAAGAUUAAAACUCAAAGGAAUUGACGGGGACCCGCACAAGCGGUGGAUGAUGUGGAUUAAUUCGAUGCAACGCGAAGAACCUUACCUGGUUUUGACAUGUGCGGAAUCCUCCGGAGACGGAGGAGUGCCUUCGGGAGCCGUAACACAGGUGCUGCAUGGCUGUCGUCAGCUCGUGUCGUGAGAUGUUGGGUUAAGUCCCGCAACGAGCGCAACCCUUGUCAUUAGUUGCCAUCAUUCGGUUGGGCACUCUAAUGAGACUGCCGGUGACAAGCCGGAGGAAGGUGGGGAUGACGUCAAGUCCUCAUGGCCCUUAUGACCAGGGCUUCACACGUCAUACAAUGGUCGGUACAGAGGGUAGCCAAGCCGCGAGGCGGAGCCAAUCUCACAAAACCGAUCGUAGUCCGGAUUGCACUCUGCAACUCGAGUGCAUGAAGUCGGAAUCGCUAGUAAUCGCAGGUCAGCAUACUGCGGUGAAUACGUUCCCGGGUCUUGUACACACCGCCCGUCACACCAUGGGAGUGGGGGAUACCAGAAGUAGGUAGGGUAACCGCAAGGAGUCCGCUUACCACGGUAUGCUUCAUGACUGGGGUGAAGUCGUAACAAGGUAGCCGUAGGGGAACCUGCGGCUGGAUCACCU